rnacentral:tRNA from 1 species
GCUCCUGUAGUCUAGCCCGGUCAAGGAUUCAGCCCUCUCACGGCUGAGACCCGAGUUCAAAUCUCGGCAGGAGCA